UAUUCACAGGUGUUGUCACUAAUUUUCAUUCACGAUAAACACAUGUGAGAGGUCUAGAAAUCCAUAUCAACAACUCAAAACUUACAAUCCAGCCACUUAAUAUAAAGGCACCAAGUAGGAUUUUUAGUACGAAAUGACUUAUUAUUAUUAUUAUAAGAGAAUAGAAAAAAAAAAAAAAACCCCCAUAAGAAAUGAGCAGAAUUUAACCUGGUGGUAAUUUUCUUUCACAUAGACAUUGAGUUAAAUUCUUUUCUAAUUUUUAAACAGCUCAUAAACUUUGACUUGAAAAAUUGAAACUUGUAUAUAUAUAUAGACACACACACACACCGUGUGAACCCAAGAUUAUUGGAGCUAAUCGUUCCCAGCCUAUAGUGACUAAAUUUACAAGUUUACAACUAUAUACAACAACCCACUAUAGCCAUUGACCCAACACCGGCCGGCUAGCUGGCUCGUGCCCGCCGGCGCACCGGCAUGUCGAUCAUUGGUGGUGGGACAUGUGUACGUAUAUAAUAUGGCUAAUAUGGCGCACGUGCACUAUCACUAUUCACCACUGCAGAGUAGAAGUAAUCUUUAUAAUGGCUCCAAAUAUGUGAUUAGGCUUCAUACAGCAAGCUGCCAUUCUGUGCCUUCUCCACUUGUUGCUUGGCCUCUCUUUAUCUAUAUUUGCAAAGCUCAUCUUAUGUAUUUGUUGCAUAUGGAAAUUCUAGCGACGUGAGACCCACUUUAACAAAAAUAAUUCAAAUCCUUCCAUUAUUGUCAACAAAAACGCGUACGUUCUUCAUUUCAUUAAUCCUCUAGAAUGGUCUCUUCAAUAAAUUAUUGCUAAUAAUUUAUUCAUAUUUUAUUAUUUUUGUUUGAUUCAUACUCAUCGUCGGUACUAGAAAUUAAAAAAAUAAAAACAUGGUGAAUACUGUCCUGGCGGUAUGAUCAGAUGAUUCC
rnacentral:lncRNA from 1 species